GCACCGGUAGCUCAGUUGGUUAGAGCGCUAGUUUGUGGAACUAGAUGUCGGCAGUUCGAGCCUGCCCCGGUGUACCA
rnacentral:tRNA from 1 species